UCAAGCCAGGACGAAGCUCCAGUUGACUGGCAUCCCCUGUAAAAAAGGGAAAUUGGGACGCUAAGACACACAGAGCCUCACCUUGUGAUGAUAGAUACAGAUGGGAGGUGUGUAUUCACAAGCCAAGAAGUGAGAACUACUGCUGAUGGAAUGGCCUUAGAUCAAGAAUACCCAACCAAAAGCUCUUGUAUUCAGAGGUUCCUGCUUGCUGUUUGCAGCCACCAUGAACUGCAGCCCAUCCAUGCCCACCUGCCUUGGAGCCAACUGAGUGUGGACUGAAACCUCCAAAAAAUGUAAAAAAUAAACCUUUCCUUUCCCAACUUGGGCUUCAGCUAUUUUGUCUCCACAACAAGUAAAAUGUUACUAAGACAUUAUUCAUAUUUAAAGAAGGUAUUCUAAUCAUUUUAAAAGUCUGAGGCUAUGAUGGUGGCAAAAUAGGAAACUUACUAUUCAACAGAAUAACAUACUGUCAAUUUUCUUAUGUGCUUAGGAGAAGUCUGGACUUUAUCCCAUAUUCCAAGCCAGAUUCACCAGCAAGUUUGCCACCUUGUUCUCUAAGGACAGAUUUUAAGUCCACUGUAGACAUUUAUCAGCCUUUGAGGGAAGGACCAAUCUACCUUUCCUCCUUGGCUCUAGCCUGCUAAGUAGUUGUUCACAAUCUUCACCGAAUGAGAAAAGACACAAGAGCUGUGAAAAAGAGCCAUGCUUAGUACAGUUCAGGCACUAGGCAUGUUCUGAGGUCUCUGCCCUUCUACUAGCUGCAUGCACCACAUGCUCAACUACCCCUACCUCUUGAGCUUUCUUCUUGCUGUGCCUUGUGACUCAGCCACAGAGCUGUUAGAGGUGACAGUGUGGUAUUCACCAAAACCAAUUCAGAUAAUGUUCAUAACUCUCCCUAGAAGGAUGACACCCACUGAAACCAGAGGAGCACAUAUCUAAGAUAUCAGCAAGGUCACAGGGCUUGUGGCUCAUUCAAGGUGCUGCAGGGGCUCUGUCUGCUCUGACCUGGGCAGCCUUCCUGGGAAAAUGACACCACUUUUACUCCUGUGGACAAUUCUGCUGCCCUAGAGGCUGGAAGAAUUUCCUGCAUUAUCCAGAAAUGAGUUGUCAGAAAAACAUUAAAAAACAAAAAUCAAGAAUACAUAAAGCAGUGAAUGUGAAGCAACAAAAAUCAAUAAGUGUCAUUCUGGGGGCCCACAACAUCCAGAAACAAGAAAAGACCUAGCAGGUAAUCCGUGUGAAGAGAGCCAAUCCACACCCAGAACAGUCUCCUAAAACCUUCUCCAAUGACAUCAUGCUGCUGCAGCUGGAGAGAAAGGCCAAGCAGACUACAGCUGUGCAGCCUCUCAGACUGCUUGAGGCCAUGAGCCAAGAUAAUUCAGGAGACACAUGCCUGGUGGCAGGCUGGAGAAAAAUCAACUCAUUGGAUCCCCUAGCAAGCACACUGCAAGAGGUGGAGCUAUCAUUAUAAGACGAACCAAAAUGCCAAUCUUCCAUCCAUGCCUACUCCACUCUCACUGAGAUUUGUGUGGCAGACCCAGGGAAAACACAGACUGGUUUCAAGCAAGACUCUCUCUGGGGUGCAAAUGAUGGGCAGGCAGAACCAGUGGUGUGGAAAAUUCCAAAGCAGCAGUGAGAAUAAAAGCCAGCAAUUGGACAGUGGUCUUGAACCUCUGAGAGCAGAGGCUUCUGCCCCUGCUCUACCAUCCUUGGAUCCCAGAUCACCACCUCGGACCAUGGACCUCCACCUUGGACCCCAGAACUCCACCUCAGACCUUGGACCUCCACCUUAGAGGGCAGUCACUUCUGCACCUGCCCUGAUACCCUGGAAACUAAGACCUCCACCUAGAAUGAGACCAUUUCUGUGCCUGUCCUCCCACCCUCACAUCCGGGAUCUACACCUCGAAGAGUGGUCACCUCUUUGCCUGUCCUCCCACAUUCGAGAACACUCUCACCUUCUGAUCUUUUUUUUAAAUUUUAUUUAAGGAGAAAAGAAAAAAUUCAGUGAAAGGGUACAAGUUAUACAGAUUUACAGAAAAAAAUGAACAUUAGGUAAUCACUAGUUAGUGGAUUACAUAUUGCCAUCUUAGAAAUAAUUCUUCAAGUCACAAAACUAAAGCUUGUAGAGUGGACAUUCCAACAAUGAUAUUGCAAACAGGUCUGUUCAAUGAUCCAAUAAAACUCUGUGAUAUCAUUUUCUACCUUAUACACUUAAAUAUACAUGCAGUUAUAUAGUUUAGAGCACUUUCUUUUCCUCUCUUUUGUACAAUGACUAUUACACAUUUUGGGUUUCAUUGCUCCCACGGUUCUUUUUACUUUUUUGGAAGAGAGUAAAACCAAACGUGACAUAACAGAACAGAAUCGGUCAAGUCAAAAGGGUGGACAUAAUAGAUAAUGUAAAAACAUAAUACAAGGUGAUCAUCAAUGGUUACCAUAAUGCUUCCCGCUAUCUCUAAUAGAAUUGCCUAUAUCAUUAGUUAAAAUACAAUUGAACAAAACAGUAAAGAACAAAACCGACACAACCAAAACACUGGAGACAUUGUAGGUCUUCAAAAGUAGACAAAAGUCAAUGAGAAUGGGCAUUAUAAUGAAUCUCAUUAUCUUCACAGCUGAUGCCUAAACUUUCGAACCUGAUACUAUCCAGCAAAACAGAAUAGGGGAACAUCAGUCAAAAACAAGAUGGUGAGAGUAGUACAGGGCUGCAAAUCGAGAUAAUAGAAAGUCAAAGUGGGUUACUAUAAUAUAUCCUGCUAUUUUUCCCUUUAAUUAAACGGAUAAAAAUAAAAAAGUAAAUAAUGCAGUGGAGAUUGAGAUAAAAGAGGGCAUAACAGCGAAACAGCGCAGAUCUAAAAAUAACCAUUUAAGCAGAAUAGUGUUUCACCACCAGAUAAUCCCGACCCAAAAGGAGUUACCAUAUUGACUCUUUCCUUGAAAUCCUUGAGUACAACUUCGUAUACUUUUGAUAUACUGAUUAAGUAUAUCAAAACAAUGUAAAACCAUUUAAGAGAAUGACAGCAUUACAGAAUAUUUAGAGUUGACUAACAGAAAAUGAACAAUGGUUUCUGUAUAAUCUCCUCGUCUUUAAAAGGUUUUUGCUUAUACUAUUGUACAUAAUAAAAUCCAAUAAGAUACAACCUAUUUAGACCAUUGGAGACAGAGGAACAACUUAAUGUGGCUGUUGAUCUUCAGCUGCACUUCCUCCUCCCAGAACCUUGGACUUCAUUGGAUUAGCCUUGCUGGUUUAAAGAGAGACUCAGUAACCAAAAAGAGGACCUCAUCAGUUUUCACCAGUAUGUUAACUUUACCUCUGAAUUAGAGGCCUUCAGGUCUUCAAUUCAAAAGAUCAUGAAUACCUAAUUUGAAAAUCUUUACUCAUAAAGGAUGGAAAAUACAGAGGAAAUGGAUGAUUUCAAGGAACAUAUGAACUACAAAAUCUGAAUCAGAAAGAUUUCAAUAACCCAAUAUCAGCUUUAGAAUUUUAAAAUGUGUUUAAAAACUUACCAACAAAAAAGUCUCUGUCCUGAUUGACUCCUGGCUGAAUUCUACAAGAAAUUUAGAGAAGAUUUAAGGCUAAAAAUCCUCAAAUGCGUUAAUGAAACUGAGAGGGAAGCAAUCCUCCCUACCUAAUUCUGGGAGGCAAGUAUUACUCUGAUACUAAAACCAGAGAAAAACUCAACCAAAAAGAACUAUAGUCCAGUCUCACUAAUGAAUGUUGAUGCAAAGAUUCUCAGUAAUAUACAGUGCAAAUAGAAGGCAGCAAAUUAUCAAGAAGAUUAUACAUCAUGACCAGUGAGGUUUAUCCCAGGUAUACAGGGAUGGUUUAACAUAUGCAAGUCAAUGAAUGUAAUACACCACAUCAACAGAGCCAAAAGCAAAAAUUAAAUGAUUAUCUCUAUAGAUGCAGAAAAAGCUUUCAAUAAAAUACAACUCUUGUUCAUGAUAAAAAAAAAAAAAAAAAACUCGGAAGAGAUGGUGUCUACCUCAAUCUGAAAAAGGACAUCUAUGACAAACCAUCAGCCCACAUUUUUCUAAAUGGACAAAAACUGAAAGCUUUUACUCUAAAAACAGGAACAAGACAAGGAUGUCCAUUGUCAGCACUCCUAUUCUAAAUAGUCAUGGAAAUACUAGCCACGACAAUCAGACAAGAGAGAGAAACUAAAAGGAAUAAAGACAGGAAGUGAAGAAGUUAAAUUAUCACUAUUUGCAGAAAAUAUGAUACUCUACAUAGAAGACCCAAAGAACUCCAUUAAAAGACUACUAGAGGUAAUAAAUUAUUUUAGCAAUAUGGAUGGAUACAAAGUCAAUGCACAAAAAUCAAUAGCAUUUUUCCACACACAAAAAAACUCAGAGAGAUAAACUAUGAAAAUAUUAACUUUCACAAUAGCAUCUAAAAAAAUGGAAUACUUAGGAGUCACAAGUGAGAAUGUAAAAGACCUAUGUGCUGAAAAUUAUUACUACUCUUAAAAAGGAGAUGGAAAAGGGUAAUAGAAAAUGGAAGAAAUUCCUUGGCCUUAGGAAGAACCAACAUUGUGAAAAUGGCCUUACUCCCUUAACUAUGAUACAGAUUUAUUGAAAUCCCAAUCAAAAUACCAUAAACAUGCUUCAUAGAUCUAGAGAAAACACUCCUAAAAUUCAUUUGAUAAUAUAAGAAAUCCAGAAUAGCAAUGGCAAUUCAGGACAACAAAGGCAAGGCAGGAGGCAUCUAAAUUGCUGACUUGAAUCUAUACUACAAUGCCACAGUGAAAAUAUUAUCAUAGUACUGGCAAAGAAAUAAACCUGAAGAUCAGUAGAACAGAUUAGAAGAUGCAAACACAACUAGCAAAACCCUCAGCCAUUUGAUGUUUGACCAAGGUGCUAAGCAUGCUCACUGAAAGGACAGCCUCUUUAAUGAGUGUCCUUGAAAAAAUUGGCUCUCCACAUGCCAAAGACUGAAAGUAGACACACGCUUAUCAUCAUGUACAAAACUAAAGUCAAAAUGGAUAAACUAUCUAAAUAUUAAAACAGAAAUGAGAAAUCUACUGGAAGACAAGAUAGGAAGAAGUCUUGGAGACAUAGGGAUAAGCAGAGUAUACAUGAACAAAAUAAAAACUUCAUAGGAAAUACUUCAAAAAAUCAACAACUGGGAUCUCAUAUUAUUGAAAAGUUUCUGUACUUUGAAAGAAAUCACCAACAGGGUGAAAAGAAAACCCACAGAAUGGGGAAGAAUUUUACCCAGCAACUCCUCAGACAAAUGACUUAUAUCCAGAACAUAUAAAGAAUUAUACUCAGGCUCUAAAUUCAAAGCCCCUCUAAAAAUGGGCUUCUGAGAUGAACACACAGUUCUCAAAUGAAGAUACACAAGUGGCACAUAAAUACAUGCAGAAAUGUUCACUAUCACUGGUCAUUCAAGACAUGCACAUUAAAAUAGCACUGAGAUCUCAUCUCACUCCAUAAAGAAUAGCUGCCAUCCACAAAGCAACUGAUAACAAAUGUUGGCUAGGAUGUGGGGAAAAAUGAACACUGCUCCACUGUAGGUGGGCGUGUAGAUUGGUGUAGUCACUGUGGAAAUCCGUAUGGAGAUUUCUCAGACGACUAGAAUUGGACGUUCCAUUCAAUCUAGCUACUCCAAGCCUGAGUAUUUUCCCAGAAAAAAUGAAAAAUUCAUGGCACAAUGAUAUAUGUGCACCAUUGUUCAGAGCAGCACAAUUUGUAAUAGCUAAAUCUUGGUAAGAACCAAAAUGCCCAUCAAACACAUAGUGGAUGAAAAUGAUGUGGUAUUCAUACUUAUCAGCUAUAAAAAAGGAUGAUCUCGAGACAUUCAUAGGUAAAUGGAGACAACUUGCCUCUAUCCUUAUAAGUUCAAUAAAUAAAAAUCAUAUUUAUAAAAAUCACAUUGUGUCUCUAGUGUGAAAUGUAUUUAAAAAUGUAGG